GUGGGGAAUAUUGCGCAAUGGGCGGAAGCCUGACGCAGCGACGCCGCGUGGGGGAUGACGGCCUUCGGGUUGUAAACCCCUUUCAGCAGGGACGAAGCUAACGUGACGGUACCUGCAGAAGAAGCGCCGGCUAACUACGUGCCAGCAGCCGCGGUAAUACGUAGGGCGCAAGCGUUGGCCGGAAUUAUUGGGCGUAAAGAGCUCGUAGGUGGCUGGUCGCGUCUGCCGUGAAAGCCCGCAGCUUAACUGCGGGUCUGCGGUGGAUACGGGCCGGCUGGAGGUAGGCAGGGGCAAGUGGAAUUCCUGGUGUAGCGGUGAAAUGCGCAGAUAUCGGGAGGAACACCGGUGGCGAAGGCGGCUUGCUGGGCCUUACCUGACGCUGAGGAGCGAAAGCGUGGGGAGCGAA
rnacentral:rRNA from 1 species